CUUCCCAUCCCGAACAGAGAAGUUAAGCCCGUCAGCGCCGAUGGUACUGCCUUCAGGUGGGAGAGUAGGUCGAUGCCGAAU
rnacentral:rRNA from 1 species